rnacentral:rRNA from 1 species
AUUGAACGCUGGCGGCAUGCUUUACACAUGCAAGUCGAACGGCAGCGCGGGCUUCGGCCUGGCUGCGAGUGGCGAACGGGUGAGUAAUGCAUCGGAACGUGCCCAGUAGUGGGGGAUAGCCCGGCGAAAGCCGGAUUAAUACCGCAUACGACCUGCGGGUGAAAGCGGGGGACCGAAAGGCCUCGCGCUAUUGGAGCGGCCGAUGUCGGAUUAGCUAGUUGGUGGGGUAAAGGCUUACCAAGGCGACGAUCCGUAGCUGGUCUGAGAGGACGACCAGCCACACUGGGACUGAGACACGGCCCAGACUCCUACGGGAGGCAGCAGUGGGGAAUUUUGGACAAUGGGGGCAACCCUGAUCCAGCCAUGCCGCGUGCGGGAAGAAGGCCUUCGGGUUGUAAACCGCUUUUGUUCGGGAAGAAAUCCUCUGGGCUAAUACCCCGGGGGGAUGACGGUACCGGAAGAAUAAGCACCGGCUAACUACGUG